rnacentral:rRNA from 1 species
CCUACGGGUGGCAGCAGUGAGGAAUAUUGGUCAAUGGUCGCGAGCCUGAACCAGCCAAGUAGCGUGAAGGAUGACUGCCCUACGGGUUGUAAACUUCUUUUGUAAAGGAAUAAAGUGAGGCACGCGUGCCUUUUUGUAUGUACUUUAUGAAUAAGGAUCGGCUAACUCCGUGCCAGCAGCCGCGGUAAUACGGAGGAUCCGAGCGUUAUCCGGAUUUAUUGGGUUUAAAGGGAGCGUAGUUGGGGUGUUAAGUCAGUGGUGAAAGUUUGCGGCUCAACCGUAAGAUUGCCAUUGAGACUGGCAGCCUUGAGUAGAGUUGAGGUAGGCGGAAUGCGUGGUGUAGCGGUGAAAUGCUUAGAUAUCACGAAGAACUCCGAUUGCGAAGGCAGCUUACUAAACUGCCACUGACGUUGAUGCUCGAAAGUGUGGGUAUCAAACAGGAUUAGAUACCCGAGUAGUC